GAUGAACGCUAGCGGCAGGCCUAACACAUGCGAGUCGAGGGGCAGCACAGGAAAGUAGUAAUACUUUUGGGUGGCGACCGGCGGACGGGUGCGUAACGCGUAUACAACCUGCCUUCUACUGGGGGAUAAUUCGGAGAAAUCUGGUCUAAUACCCCAUAACAACCGAUGAGGCAUCUCAUUGGUUUAAAAGCUCCGGCGGUAGAAGAUGGGUAUGCGUGACAUUAGAUAGUUGGUGGGGUAACGGCUCACCAAGUCGACGAUGUCUAGGGGGACUGAGAGGUUAACCCCCCACACUGGAACUGAGACACGGACCAGACUCCUACGGGAGGCAGCAGUGAGGAAUAUUGGUCAAUGGACGCAAGUCUGAACCAGCCAUGCCGCGUGCAGGAAGACGGCUCUAUGAGUUGUAAACUGCUUUUGUACGAGGGUAAACCCAGGGACGUGUCCUCGGUUGAAAGUACCGUACGAAUAAGGAUCGGCUAACUCCGUGCCAGCCGCCGCCGUAA
rnacentral:rRNA from 1 species